CACCAGACUCCUACGGGAGGCAGCAGUGGGGGAUAUUGGACAAUGGGGGAAACCCUGAUGCAGCGACGCCGCGUGAGCGAGGAAGUAUUUCGGUAUGUAAAGCUCUAUCAGCAGGGAAGAAAAUGACGGUACCUGACUAAGAAGCCCCGGCUAACUACGUGCCAGCAGCCGCGGUAAUACGUAGGGGGCAAGCGUUAUCCGGAUUUACUGGGUGUAAAGGGAGCGUAGGCGGCUGUGUAAGCCAGAAGUGAAAGCCCGGGGCUCAACUCCGGGACUGCUUUUGGAACUACAUGGCUUGAUUGCAGGAGAGGCAAGUGGAAUUCCUAGUGUAGCGGUGAAAUGCGUAGAUAUUAGGAAGAACACCAGUGGCGAAGGCGGCUUUCUGGACUGAAACUGACGCUGAGGCACGAAAGCGUGGGGAGCGAACAGGAUUAGAUACCCUGGUA
rnacentral:rRNA from 1 species